rnacentral:tRNA from 1 species
UCCCGCGUUGGUCUGCUGGUAGGGCCCGCUCGGCUUUGAACCGAGACUAGCGACGCAGGUUCGAUUCCUGCCGCGGGAG